AGUAACGUGCGGGCAACCUGCCCUGCACUGGGGAAUAAUCAUUGGAAACGAUGACUAAUACCGCAUACGGUUCCUGGGAGGCAUCUUCCGGGAAAGAAAGGAUUUAUUCGGUGCAGGAUGGGCCCGCAUCUGAUUAGCUAGUUGGUGAGAUAACAGCCCACCAAGGCGACGAUCAGUAGCCGACCUGAGAGGGUGACCGGCCACAUUGGGACUGAGACGCGGCCCAAACUCCUACGGAAGGCAGCAG
rnacentral:rRNA from 1 species